ACUCCUACGGGAGGCAGCAGUGAGGAAUAUUGCGCAAUGGGGGCAACCCUGACGCAGCAACGCCGCGUGAGUGAGGAAGGUUUUCGGAUCGUAAAGCUCUGUCGAGUGGGAAGAAAUGUAUCAUGGCUAAUAUCCAUGAUACUUGACGGUACCGCUAAAGGAAGCACCGGCUAACUCCGUGCCAGCAGCCGCGGUAAUACGGGGGGUGCAAGCGUUGUUCGGAAUUAUUGGGCGUAAAGAGCGUGUAGGCGGCUGAAUAAGUCAGAUGUGAAAUCCCUGGGCUUAACUCAGGAAGUGCAUUUGAAACUAUUCAGCUCGAGUAGGGGAGAGGAAAGUGGAAUUCCUGGUGUAGAGGUGAAAUUCGUAGAUAUCAGGAGGAACACCGGUGGCGAAGGCGACUUUCUGGCCCUAUACUGACGCUGAGACGCGAGAGCGUGGGUAGCAAACAGGAUUAGAUACCCUGGUAGUCCACGCUGUAAACGAUGUUCACUAGGUGUUGGGGGUAUUGACCCUCUCAGUGCCGAAGCUAACGCAUUAAGUGAACCGCCUGGGGAGUACGGUCGCAAGAUUAAAACUCAAAGGAAUUGACGGGG
rnacentral:rRNA from 1 species